GGGCUGGUAGCUCAGCUUGGUAGAGCACCAGGCUUUUAACCUGGGAGUCGCGGGUUCAAGUCCCGUCCAGCUCA
rnacentral:tRNA from 1 species